GUGGAGCAUUGUCAGCCUCUGGGUGGGUAACACAGAGCUGUUCUCAUCACCUGUCCCUCCUGCUUGUGCAGUGUCUGCCACACGCAUCAUAACGUCACCUGGGUGUUUGGUGAAGCUGCAGAAGCGUGGGGUAAUCCUGGUGCUGGAGACCCUGUGGGGCUUUGGCAUGAGAUUGGCUUUAAUGUGCUAAGCAUGAUCAGCAUGAAUGUGAAGUGUCUAACCUGAGCACAGGGGAAUGGCUGAUGGUAACAACUUGAAGCAGUGAAGACGUGUGAAUAAUGUGAACAAAAUAUAAUUUAAUUAUUCAGACACUUUAAAAACUAAGCCAUAAUGCCCAGAGCCACUGUUUGCUGCACAAUGGCACGAUGACAUCGGGUGUUUUCCAUAAAUUGUGUUUCGCUGAGUGUCGCAAGCAGUGGAAACACUAGAGCAAGCACGUCAGCGCUAUAUGCACACCUAAGAAUAAAAAGAAAAGAGCUUUUUGCACCAGAAUGAAUCCAUUUUUCGUGAAAACUCUGGGAGUCACCUGACUGAGCCCGGAGCCUCCAGGACAACACAGCACCAGCCUGCAAUGGGAAAGAAAUUAAGCAGGGCUGCCUUCGCCUCGCACAUGCCUUUUAGCCUGUCGACGCGUUGCCUGUCCGUAUCCCUCACAGCGCAUCUGUAGAGCCAUUAAAUUGGAUAAUCCCUCUGGCCUUUGAUACAUUUCUGGACAUGAUUAUUUCAUUACUCGCAGUAUAUCAGUAGGAUCAUAAUAAAAAGGACUUCUGACAACCUG